AACGCAAAUUGCACUCUCUGGCAACCCGGGGAGUAUGCCUGUUUGAGGGUCAGUGUUAAUAAAAAUCGGGUGCGUUGCAAUUUUUGUGACGUUUCCGGAGUUUGAGUUUAUCUUAAUUAACUUCGGUUUUUAAGAGGCUUAAAAUUGACCUUUUUUUGUGCAUUUUAGACGUACAUAAAUUUUUUUUUAUUCGUCCAUUCUAAUGUCAAAAUCUAUUAGAUGCGACCAUAUCUUGUGGUUCCGUGUCUAUAAAAUUUUCAUGAUUUGACCUCAAAUCAGGUAGGAACACCCGCUGAACUUAA
rnacentral:misc_RNA from 1 species